CGUUCCAUGGCCAAACUGGUCAAGGCAUCGCCGAUUCUAUAAUCGGCGAUGCGAAGAUGCGGGUUUGAGUCCCGUUGGAACGG
rnacentral:tRNA from 1 species